UACGUAGGGUGCAAACGUUGUCCGGAUUUAUUGGGCGUAAAGAGCGUGUAGGCGGUUUGGUAGGUCCGCUGUGAAAACUCGAGGCUCAACCUCGAGACGCCGGUGGAAACCAUCAGGCUAGAGUCCGGAAGAGGAGAGUGGAAUUCCUGGUGUAGCGGUGAAAUGCGCAGAUAUCAGGAAGAACACCCGUGGCUAAGGCGGCUCUCUAGUACGGUACUGACGCUGAGACGCGAAAGCGUGGGGAGCGAACAGG
rnacentral:rRNA from 1 species